AAGACUACAACUCAGUAAAACAGAGGGUCAGGUAUGGCUUGCUGUCUAUCAACUCCUUAUGAACGAGGAUUGUCAGAGAAAGUACGAACUUAACUCUUAUAGCAAGGAACAAAUUUUAAAGCUAAGAGGUUUUAUGAAUGAGGUACUUCUAGACCAGAUUCCCAGCUUAAUAGAUCUACAAAGAUACCUUGAGCAAUUAUCUAUCAUGGAACCACCGGCUAUGAAAAAAGAUAUUAUUCUGGAACAGGUAAAUGAUCGUUGUUUGUUUA